AUGGAGUGCAUGGAACUUAACCCAGAGAAAAGACCAGAUGCACGGCGUAUAAUUGACAUGCUUGAUAAAACGGAAAGUACUGACAAAAUUGACACCAGUAGUUCAUUAGUUGGGCUGCAGAUAAGUUCAUUUAGCGAACAAUCGAAACUGCAGGAGGAUGUCAACGAGCACCCUGAAACUGAUGAUGUUGCAGAACGUCUUGGAAAUGAAGGUGAAGAAAACGCAGAUCAUUGGUCAUUGCGGGAAGAGCAAGUUGAUCGCAAAGGAACAAGCAUUUCCAGUUCUAACUCUAGUUUGCUGGACAAGUUGAACAUUCUGAACGUCUUCCGAAGUGACGCACAAAGGAAUUUCGUGAUAAAUGGAGGCCAGAUACUAAAGAAUGUAACGGGCCUGAAGAUUUUCACAAAGAAGGAAAUAAAAAAGAUCACAAGAAAUUAUGCAGAGUUUCUUGGUAGAGGCGGUUACUCAAGAGUCUACAGAGGAACUCUUCCUGACAAUACAACAGUGGCAGUUAAGAUAUUGCUUAUGGGUGUAGAUGAAGAUCAAAUGGAGGAAUUUGUUAAGGGAGUGGAGGUCCGGACACAAUUGUUCCACAAUAACAUUGUGAAGCUCAUCGGUUACUGCCUGGAAGCUGAUGUUCCGAUAUCGGUUAAUGAGUAUGCUGCUAAUGGGAGCCUCAUGGGCAUUCUCCAUGGCAACAAAAAUCGAACGCUCCCCUUAGACUUGCGUUUGGACAUUGCGAUUGGGUCUGCAGAAGGGUUAAGGCACAUGUACUCUGUAGACAUACAGCACGACCCAGUGUUCAUGAAAACUGGCAUGUUAACGCCAAAGAGUGAUGUCUACAGCUUCGGGGUGGUUCUCCUGGAACUCAUUACCAGGAAGACUGCCUAUAAGUGUAGCCUCAUCGUUGAGUAUCGCAAAUGUUAUGAGACAGAAAAGAGUGGGAGAGCAAUGUUCGACAAGAAGAUUGCAGCAGAAGAAGACAUCUACAUCCUUGAAGAGAUAGGCAAGCUGGCCAUUGAGUGCCUGAAUGUAGAUAUAGAAGAGCGACCUGAUAUGACUGAGGUGACGGAACGGCUUGUGAUGCUUAGGAGAGAUAGACGACUUGUGAAGGCACGCAAAAGCUAA
rnacentral:rRNA from 1 species